UAAAGCCCAGCACUUGUGAGAGUGCUGUAACAGAGAGAAACAGAGCGUCCCUCCCAUCCUGUCUACAGAUGACGCCUGGAACACUGUCUGCCGACUUGUGGUUUACCAACCAGUGUGGGCAAUUGAGCCUAAUGGAACGGCAAAGGUCAUCAUAACAAACCAUUACAGUCUUCGACUUGGCUACGCCGGCCACAGAAGAACCUCCAAGAAACCGUCAUCAUUCCUCCAAUGUUAUGGCAUCCAGACGACAGGGAUGCCUCGCAAAUGAGUCAUCCGGGCUCAGAUCCGCAGUAGCUCCGUGAGUGCAGCGCAAUCAAUUAUUCAUGUGUUUACAGAGAGCUUUCCUGGUUGAUGUUAACCAGAAAUGCCUGCAAAGGACAGCUCUCCAGCUGCCCUCGGCCAUCCUGGGGCCUCCAACUAACAAGUCACUUUAAUGGCUGGAGAAGCCAUCUGGGAAGAUGAGCCUCCCCAGCCCAGGCCCUGAGACUUUAUUAGGUGCAAAAAUAUUAAUCAGGGAUAAUUAUGACAAUACUUUAUAUACAGGACUCUCAGAAAAAUCCUAAAGAGGGUGAGAGAAGGUGGGCCUGACCCGGAACCCAUUAGGCUCAAUGGGGACUGGACUAUUGAAGACUCAGCUCAGGGAUGGAUGCAUGGAGAGCCAAAGAGGAGAGAAUGAAGGGAGAGAACUGGAGGCUGUGAGUCCCAGUGUGGAGUGCUCUGUGAAGGCUUCCCAUGAAUCCACCACUCCUGUUGACCGGAACUCCUGGGAUCUGCCACAAGCUCCCCUGAAUACCAGAAUGGCAUCUCUUGAGGGGCCAAAGAAAACACCAGCGUGUCCUUACACGGACCUUCCCGGAGCCUCCAGAUGGGCUGUUGUGUCUUUGAAGAAUACUGAGGCUCGCUGGACUUCUCAAACAUAUUGCUCCAUGGCAUUCUUUUUCAAGAACAGAACCCCCCCCCCACCCCCACCCCCACCCA